rnacentral:rRNA from 1 species
GACGAAGGGGGCUAGCGUUGUUCGGAAUUACUGGGCGUAAAGCGAGUGUAGGUGGUUUGCCAAGUUGGGUGUGAAAGCCUUGAGCUCAACUCAAGAAAUGCACUCAGUACUGGCAGACUAGAGGACCGGAGAGGAUAGUGGAAUUCCCAGUGUAGUGGUGAAAUACGUAGAGAUUGGGAAGAACACCAGUGGCGAAGGCGGCUAUCUGGACGGUUUCUGACACUAAGACUCGAAAAGCGUGGGGAGCAAACAGG